GACGAACGCUGGCGGCGUGCCUAAUACAUGCAAGUAGAACGCUGAAGCUUGGUGCUUGCUCAGAGCGGAUGAGUUGCGAACGGGUGAGUAACGCGUAGGUAACCUGCCUGGUAGCGGGGGAUAACCAUUGGAAACGAUAGCUAAUACCGCAUAAGAGUAGAUGUUGCAUGACAUUUGCUUAAAAGGUGCAAUUGCAUCACUUCCAGAUGGACCUGCGUUGUAUUAGCUAGUUGGUGAGGUAACGGCUCACCAAGGCAACGCUACAUAGCCGACCUGAGAGGCGGAUCGGCCACGCUGGGACUGAUCGACGCCACGGACUCCUAGGUAAGACAGCCGUAGAGAACUUUCGGCUAGGGACGGAAGCCUGAUCAAGCAACGACGACUGAGUGUAGAAUGCUUUCGGAUCGUAAGUGUCUGUUUUGCGGGAAGAGCGAGUGUUCGACUUAAAAGUUCGCAGCGUGACGGUAUCUUACCAGGAAGCGACGGCUAACUACGUG
rnacentral:rRNA from 1 species